rnacentral:miRNA from 1 species
GUGUGUGUGUGUGUGUGUGUGUGUGUGUAUGAGCACGUGCUCACGCAUGCACAGAGACAC